rnacentral:lncRNA from 1 species
CAGAGAAUAACAUUCUUGAAGAUUUAUAAGGAAAAUUUAGUUUACAAAAGGUAGUAUUAUGGAUUAUACACACUUUUUUUAAUGCUUAAUUUUCCUUGCAGUUUGCUAGCUCAUGCUGAAAAACUCCAUUUUCCAUUUUAGUCCAUAUUUGAGGAAACCAUGACUUAUUACAGUUUCUCAAGAUUGUGGCCGCUGAGGCAAGCAUGCAUCACAAAGAACACUGCUGAGAUAUCGGAGAAGGACAGCUACAAGGUCAGGGGAUUUGAUCAGAACAUCCAUCAAUCUUCUGUAUUGUGCUUUGAUAUGACUACAGUAAAUCUCUGCUUCAUAAGGCUAAGCCUUAAGCUAUCCAGAAGCUUUGUCUCAGUUGUCACACAUCCUCAGAUGACCAUCCUACCAAAUGACCUCUUUUGUGGAUGGAAGUAAGUGGACUAGAGAGCCUCUGAUAAAAGCAACAGCUGAGAAAGUGCAAUUCUAUACUAAGAAAUCAACUCUACCUCUGCGGUGGUGGUAAUCUCUGUAAAGUUUGCUCAAUGCCAACAGUGACUUAACACAGAUCUUAUGAAAAAUAAAGUGACCCAAAUUCAUAACUGUUGUGAAUGCUUCACUGCUUAAAGCAUUUUUUCAUUAAGGUUGAUUUUAACUCAAGAUCUCCAUCUUAUUCUCUGAAUCCCUGAUAAUGACGUGUUUGACUGUCUCUCUAUAAAAGUCAGAAAACAUUCAGGCUUAGAUUUCAUCCACAAUUCAACAUAAUGGUCUUAAAUAUAAGAAGUGGGAUUAAGUAAGUUAGUUUUGAGAUCUGUUGUAGGUUUAGCCUUUCUUUAGCCCUUUUUCUUUCUUCUCUUUACCUGAUUUGUUCUCUUCCUGUUUAUUGUACUCUUGAAAGAAAGAAUAGCUCUCUGUGUUUAUUGUCCCUAUCAGUUUAAUGUCAGGUCAAAUCUGUAAUUUAAAAUGUUCCUUUUUUGUACUGGCCAAAAAUAAAAAAAAUAAAAUCCAAAACACCACAUCUUAUGAUGAUAUCAUUCACUUUCACUGAACCAUCUGGAGUUCUGGAGAUGAAGCUGCAAACUGUCAACAUCUGAUGGAAAGCAAGUAGAGUUCACUAAAAGGGAAUUUUAAGCUGGAGAAUCAUCCUGUAGAAAGUUUAGUGCAGUUCAAUGCUGGAGGAAGGAAAUCAUUAUCUAUCAAAGAACCUCCUGCCCCAAAGCCAUAGCAUUAGGACAUACCUCGUGCUGUG